CCUCCAUCUCUCAUUGAAAGGGGAAGUUACAUUCUUCGGAAGCUCUUGGUUGAUGAUACAGAAGUUAUUAGCUUCCUUCUCUCAAUAGAAAUAAUUCCACUAUGCCUGCGGACGAUGGAGAUGGGCAGUGAACUAUCAAAAACAGAGCCAAGCAAAGGGACAAACGGCAAGAAACAUUCUCAUAGAGAAAUGCAGGGUAAGCAAAACAGUGCAAGUGGUGAACAUAGGGUGCACAGAGGUGGUGCUUGGAAGAAUUCCCUUCACCAGAAGCCUUAAAGCAUUGAAUUAUUGUUUCAACCAAACCACCAAAAGAAUAUCUUGAAUCUAAGGGUCCAAUAGGGAAGGAUUCAUCUACUGAAGCAGCAUCAGGAAAGGAGUCACCAGACCUUGCAGCUUAGCUGGAUCCUGAUGACAAGGUGAGCUUAGAAAUAAAUUUAUUUCAUCAGCUUAUAAUCUACAAAUGAA